rnacentral:rRNA from 1 species
AUUGAACGCUGGCGGCAGGCCUAACACAUGCAAGUCGAGCGGCAGCGGGAAAGUAGCUUGCUACUUUUGCCGGCGAGCGGCGGACGGGUGAGUAAUGCCUGGGGAUCUGCCCAGUCGAGGGGGAUAACUACUGGAAACGGUAGCUAAUACCGCAUACGCCCUACGGGGGAAAGCAGGGGACCUUCGGGCCUUGCGCGAUUGGAUGAACCCAGGUGGGAUUAGCUAGUUGGUGAGGUAAUGGCUCACCAAGGCGACGAUCCCUAGCUGGUCCGAGAGGAUGAUCAGCCACACUGGAACUGAGACACGGUCCAGACUCCUACGGGAGGCAGCAGUGGGGAAUAUUGCACAAUGGGGGAAACCCUGAUGCAGCCAUGCCGCGUGUGUGAAGAAGGCCUUCGGGUUGUAAAGCACUUUCAGCGAGGAGGAAAAGUUGGUAGCUAAUAACUGCCAGCUGUGACGUUACUCGCAGAAGAAGCACCGGCUAACUCCGUGCCAGCCGCCGCCGUAA